rnacentral:rRNA from 1 species
UCGGCGAGUGGCGAACGGGUGAGUAUAGCAUCGGAACGUGCCAAGUAGUGGGGGAUAACCAAACGAAAGUUUGGCUAAUACCGCGUAAGCUCCAAGGAGGAAAGUAGGGGACCUAAAUAAGGCCUUACGCUAUUUGAUCGGCCGAUGUCGGAUUAGUUAGUUGGUGGGGUAAUGGCUCACCAAGGCAAUGAUCCGUAGCGGGUCUGAGAGGACGAUCCGCCACACUGGGACUGAGACACGGCCCAG